AAGCNUUCCACCUGGGGAGUACGCCGGCAACGGUGAAACUCAAAGGAAUUGACGGGGGCCCGCACAAGCGGAGGAACAUGUGGUUUAAUUCGAUGAUACGCGAGGAACCUUACCUGGGCUUAAAUUGCAGUGGAAUAACGUGGAAACAUGUUAGCCUUCGGGCCGCUGUGAAGGUGCUGCAUGGUUGUCGUCAGCUCGUGCCGUGAGGUGUCGGCUUAAGUGCCAUAACGAGCGCAACCCUCAUCGAUAGUUACUAACAGGUUAAGCUGAGGACUCUAUCGAGACUGCCGACGUAAGUCGUGAGGAAGGUGGGGAUGACGUCAAAUCAGCACGGCCCUUACGUCCAGGGCUACACACGUGUUACAAUGGGGGGUACAAAGGGCAGCUACCUGGCGACAGGAUGCUAAUCUCAAAAACCUCUCUCAGUUCGGAUUGGAGUCUGCAACCCGACUCCAUGAAGCUGGAUUCGCUAGUAAUCGCGCAUCAGCCACGGCGCGGUGAAUACGUUCCCGGGCCUUGUACACACCGCCCGUCAAGCCAUGGGAGCCGGGGGGACCUGAAGUAUGCAACCGUAAGGAGCGUCCUAGGGUAAAACUGGUGACUGGGGCU
rnacentral:rRNA from 1 species